GUGGAGGAGGACGCCGAAGGUGGGGCUAAUGACUGGGGUGAAGUCGUAACAAGGUAGCCGUACCGGAAGGUGCGGCUGGAUCACCUCCUAACAGGGAGACAACAAAAUGUUUAAUAUUAUUAUUUUGUCACCUUAGGUCGAUCGGUAUCUCAAGUUCUUAAUUAAUUAAGAAUUUCAUUUCCUAAGUUUUUCUAGGUCACACCCAUUAUUUUUCCUGGGCCAUUAGCUCAGGUGGUUAGAGCGCACCCCUGAUAAGGGUGAGGUCCCUGGUUCAAGUCCAGGAUGGCCCAUAUCUCUAUGUUGGGGGUAUAGCUCAGUUGGUAGAGCGCCUGCUUUGCAAGCAGGAUGUCAGCGGUUCGAGUCCGCUUACCUCCACUGAUUACCACCUCUUCCAUAAUCUGUAGAAAGGAAAAUUUUUGAGUUGUGAUCAUAAUUCUGAACGAAUCUAGCUUCCUAAUGAAAUCAUUAAGAUGCUGGACUCAUUGAAUUAAUUUCAUUGUUUUCAGAGAACCUUGACAACUGCAUAGAUUAUUUUUAAAGACAAUAAGCAUCUUUAUGAUGCAGAUUUAUUAUUUGUGCGAAUGCAUUAAUAACAAUUCUAUUAAGCUGAUGCUUCAAUUUUGAAGUUAUUGGUCAAGCUACAAAGGGCUCACGGAGGAUACC
rnacentral:misc_RNA from 1 species